rnacentral:rRNA from 1 species
UACAGAGGGUGCGAGCGUUAAUCGGAAUUACUGGGCGUAAAGGGUGCGUAGGUGGUUUGUUAAGUUAGAUGUGAAAGUCCUGGGCUUAACCUGGGGACUGCGUCUAAUACUGAUAGACUAGAGUACUGUAGAGGAAAGUGGAAUUUCCGGUGUAGCGGUGAAAUGCGUAGAUAUCGGAAGGAACAUCAGUGGCGAAGGCGACUUUCUGGACAGAUACUGACACUGAGGCACGAAAGCAUGGGGAGCAAACAGG